UACCCACAGCACAAGUGGUGGUCAUUAUUAUUGGGCCUAAAGCGUCCGUAGCUGGCUUGUUAGAUGCCUGGGUAAAUCGAUGCGCUCAACGCAUCGAACUCCGGGUAGACCGGCAAGCUUGGGACCGGGAGAGGCGUGAGCUACUCGAGGGGUAGGGGUAAAAUCCUGUAAUCCUUCGGGGAGGACCAGUGGCGAAGGCGUCACGCUAGAACGGCUCCGACAGUGAGGGACGAAGCCCUGGGGCGCAAACCGG
rnacentral:rRNA from 1 species